rnacentral:lncRNA from 1 species
UAUCUCAAAAGAAGUUCAAAUCUUUGAAACCCAAAAAAAACAUUAAAAUUCACAUUUGUACGAGUUAAACAAAAUCAAGGGUUGGAAAAGCUUCAGUGGGUGCUUAUGAGUAAAAACGUUUAGAAACCUACUUGUUUUGUGCUUUGUUUCGGUGGGUUAACUCUCACUCUUUUAUUGGCUAUUUUUGAACCUUGGGUAAGCUUCUCUCAACGGUUUUCCUUCGUUUUUUACUUGUGUGUUUCGCUACUGGUAUGUGUUAGAAGGGAUUGGUGAAAGAAAAUUGAAGUUUGAGGGUGGUUUGAAUGAAUUUCGAAAAAUGGAAGAAAGUGAUGAAAAUGUGAGAUUUUUUUAUCGUUUCUUUUCUUCCUCUGAUCUUCCUCCCCUUGUUUCAAUUCUGCUGGAUCAAUUUAUAGGCAAAUUUAGGGUUUCUUUAUCCAUUGGAUUGAAGUGUUUGAAUUGGAUUGAGUGUGAGAAUUGAAUUUGGUGAGAAAAGUGAUGAAAAGAGUAUGGUGAGGUGAAGGAAAAAGCUGAAACAGGGGAGGGAGGCGUGUUGCUGCUGCUGCUUUUCUUGUCAUUUUCUGCUUGACUCUUUCUAUUUUUUUUGUUUUGAAUUAAUAAU